UACAGAGGUCUCAAGCGUUGUUCGGAUUCAUUGGGCGUAAAGGGUGCGUAGGUGGCGUCAUAAGUCAGGUGUGAAAUCUCGGGGCUCAACCCCGAAACUGCACUUGAUACUGUGGUGCUCGAGUACUGGAGAGGAGAUUGGAAUUUACGGUGUAGCAGUGAAAUGCGUAGAUAUCGUAAGGAAGACCAGUGGCGAAGGCGAAUCUCUGGACAGUUACUGACACUGAGGCACGAAGGCCAGGGGAGCAAACAGG
rnacentral:rRNA from 1 species